rnacentral:snoRNA from 1 species
UACCGUGAUGACACGAUGUCGCCCCAAACGGAGGCUCCUUUUCAGGACUAUGACCGAUUCGAUUUUAUGCCAAACACACUGAAAAUUCUGAAG